AUGGUCAGUCCCCAAAACGCAGCUGCUGAACAUGGUCCUGCACCCUGCAGUAUCGUCUGCAAGAGGCUGCGACAGGCACGUUCGCGCCAGAUGUCGGGUCUGUGUCCCUGCCGCCGGGUGCCCACCUUGCCCAUUUCGUACCGAGACACGUUCAGGGCACAGUUCCUCCAUCUCACUGCAGAAGACAUGGCCCGGCUCCGGAUGUGUGCUAGCAAACAGCCUUUUUCGAUAGGACUUAUUGAAACUAGACAAAGAGACAAACGGGUCUGGAGUAGUGAGCAGCCCGUGACCUCUCUAACUUUGAGGAAGGAAAACCACUGUCAAAAGUGCAGCUGAGCUGAGGAGGGUUAGACACACACCAGGAGCCACGGCGCUGCCGGCGUCUCCCGUGCAGAUGUACAGCGAGGGCUCCUGACGGGCGCGCACCAGCAUUUGGCCUCCCUGAGAAACAACUUCUCGGGCAUCUAAAUGUUUUCUUUGUCCAAACCAAGCGCCCAAAGAUAAUUGAUUAAUUAAGCACCUUUUAGCAACUGUAGCUUUUUCUGGCAGAAAUGCAUCUGAAGAGCUUGCCUGAGGGCCUGAUCCUCCUGAGGCUUCGUGCCCCGAAAUGCUGUGAUUGCUGCCUUGCACCAUCAGCCUCGGUGAGAUCUUCCCCGAACCUGGGAUUGGAGCCAGGCUGGCAUGUGUUAGCCUGAUCGCGGCUGCUGUCUGCAGGCAGUAAUAACCCUCGCUAAGAUGUGUGGUUUGAACAAAACGCAGGCAGGCCCUGGAGUGCGGUAUUUGAGGCAUGAAUGCCUAAAGCACAUAAGCGACUCUGCUCCUUGCUGUGCUCCUGACGCUGGCAGUGUAGAGUCUGAACAGGAGUAAAACACAGUAGCUCAUAAAGCAGCAUAUGGAUAGACCGCAAAUGGAUAGUUUUAUGUCCUGUGCAAUAUUUUCAUUGAUAUUUAUUUUGAUUUAAUUUGGCUAAUGUGCAAGAAAAAUGAAAAUGUACUGUGCUCUUCAACAUCUGAUGAGGACCUGAAUGCUUUUUAAACUUAGUGUUAGCGCACAGGCAGCGAUCUCUAAGGUCUGCCUGGCAGCUCUGCUUGAAAAUCAUGAGUUGCUCCACGUAAGUCAUGGAACGACCCUCAGAUCAGCACGAUUUUAAAAAAUGUUGAAAUGUUUCUAUUAGCUUUAUAGUAUUCUAGUCUUCCUGCUUCAGCCUUUUGUCCAUAACUUAAUUCUCCUUUUAAUGAAAAUGGAGUUUCCCACACUUCCAAAGUACUUCGAAGAUGUGUUAAAAAAGUGUCAAAUACCAUGAGAUUCAUGAUAAAAUGGUGAGAGAUGGCAACGCUCCGUAUCUCCACUUUGUCAGAAGAGAGACUGAAGCCGAGCUAGGAAAGGACAGGAAUGAUGGGCCACUAAUUGUAGCAGAAGCUUUGGAGACCAGGCUACAAAUCUCUGCCAAAGACUUCCUGCGUCAACGUGGACGAGUGACAUAAAUCUUCCUCUGUUGUAGUUACCGUCUGCAAAACGGGAUAAAAAGAUUCCAUUUCCUCCAAGGGGAUUUGGAGACAUAAAUGCAUUAAAAGAGGAAAAGUCCCGAAAAGCAGCAGAAAUGGCAGGGCAGCGUACAGUCUUUGGUCGAAGUCUGGAGAAGAACACAAAAAUAUUUCCCCAGAGAUGUUAACUGCAAAUAAAUUUUGUGUCUGCCUGCA
rnacentral:lncRNA from 1 species